rnacentral:rRNA from 1 species
AUUGAACGCUGGCGGCAGGCCUAACACAUGCAAGUCGAACGAGUGGCGGACGGGUGUGUAAUGUCUGGGAAACUGCCUGAUGGAGGGGGAUAACUACUGGAAACGGUAGAUAAUACCGCAUACUAUCGGAUGUGCCCAGAUGGGAUUAGCUAGUAGGUGGGGUAAAGGCUCACCUAGGCGACGAUCCCUAGCUGGUCUGAGAGGAUGACCCGCCAAACGUGAACUGAGGCACGGUCCAUACUCCUACGGGAGGCAGCAGUGGUGAAGAUUGAACAAUGGGAGCAAGCCUGAUGCAGCCAUGCCGCUUGUAUGAAGAAGGCCUUCGGGUUGUAAAGUACUUUCAGCGGGGAGGCGUUACCCGCAGAAGAAGCGCCGGCUAACUCCGUGCCAGCAGCCGCGGUAAUAC